UCACAACUCAAUUUUAUUUUUCACUACUUUUCUUCCAAGCAAGCAUUCAUUUUCAUUUUUUUUCUUUUUCUUUUCACAUCGUAUUCACAAAACAGAUGUUUCUCUUUUCUAAUUUUUUUUUCAAUGCUUGCUCGGUUAUUCAAUAGUUGUGGCACCUACCGAUUCUCAUUUUCGUUCUCCCCAACUUAUCUUUUACUCACUCCAAGUGAAUGCUCUUGACUUUUUACGGCAAAAGAACAAUUAUAAAAAAUUUUAGGGUUUCAAGAAAAAAGAUU
rnacentral:lncRNA from 1 species